rnacentral:rRNA from 1 species
UACGUAGGUGGCAAGCGUUGUCCGGAUUUACUGGGCGUAAAGAGCGCGCAGGCGGUCGGAUCAGUCGAAUGUGAAAGCCCCCGGCUCAACUGGGGAGGGUCAUUCGAUACUGUCCGACUCGAAGGCAGGAGAGGGAAGCGGAAUUCCCGGUGUAGUGGUGAAAUGCUUAGAUAUGACAUAGAACACCAAUUGCGAAGGCAGCUUACUUCACGAUCAUUGACACUGAGGCACGAAAGCGUGGGGAGCAAACAGG